UCUAAUAUGGCAGAAAAUUUAUGCGAUGAACUUAAGAUUCAUAGAUGAAGGGAUUCCUUUUAUUAGAU
rnacentral:tRNA from 1 species